AUGGGUCUAACAAAGAAGUGGGCUUUAGCCAAAUCAAGAAGAUGAAGCGGAGGAGAAGAAAGAAACCACUUUGACACUGUCAAAGAUUGGCAGCUUCCCCAGUUGCUACUUAAAACAUCACAAUGUCUCGACUCGAGGAUUACAGAUAGCCAAAUCAUAGACAUGUUGCUUUUCAGCAUGUGGUUACGGUUAAAAGAGGGUUAAAAAAAUUAUAGCAUUAGUAUUUACAAGGCAGAAAAUCAUUUGCACCGUAGGUAUGCUUAAUGCCUUAGUACUUGAUGUACCCGUGAAACCAAGCAAUAGAGCAAGUAAAAAACAAGAACAUGAUAACAGCCAUACCUAGAAGUAGGGUGAGUCUAUUUGAAUUCAAAGUCAGUUAACGCUUUAAUUUUUUUGUUUAGUUCUUUUCUCUUCCAUCAUUUUCUCUAUCAUUAGCUUUUUCUGUCUUUUCAAGUUUCAAAAUAAAAAAUUAAAUAAAGGUGGCCAUGGCCGUUGGCCAAGGUGAAGUGGUGGAGGGUUUUCAUUUCUCACCUGGGCAUUUUGUGUUUCAAUUUUUUAAGGGUAAAAAGGAAAUUAGAGACUAACUAGGAAAAAGAUUGGGGCAUGUGUACAUUUUUUUGGGGGUUGAAAUUAAAUUGUCUCUUAGGGCCGAAAGAUCUGUUUAGUUUUAGGAAAGGAUUUUAGGUUUAUUAGUUUUGUCCAUACGUUGUUGGCGUAAACAUAUGGCUUCAAUUGUCAUGCUAUGAUAAUGGAAAUGGAUCUAUCCUGUUUUUGGUAUUGUAAAUAACCAAUUCGAGCUGUGUAUCAAAAGGGUCCUUGUCUACGGUUUGGAGUUUAACUUCAACAUUGAAAAUUAUGUUUGGAGGUCAUAAAGGCUUAGAUUAAAAUUCAAGUUAAAACAAGUGAAAAAUCAGCAAAACGAAGACAAGUAAAGGAUCAGUAUGCGAUAAAAUUAGACUCCUCCAAUAGAGUUAAAGGGAUUUUGAGAUCAAAAUUUAUGAUGCAGAGCCAAUAAAGAAAAAGAGAUGAGGGAGAGAAAUAGAGGGGAAGGAAGAAGAACAAAAGGGGUUGCUAAGGCUUCAAUUAAAUCCUCAAUCCAAAAUCAUCAAAUUUAUAAUCUCUAAUCAAUCUAAUGCCCUAAUCAAAUCCUUAAAAUGUGUUUUUCGUCACUUUUCUAAUGGAAGAACUUAGUCUAUUAAGUUUUUUAAUCUUAACUAACAUCAUUGCAUUGUACCCCUAAUUAAUAGUCGGUUGAAAAUGGAAACAUGUUGGCAGAACACCUCAAAUAUGCUCUUCAAAGUAUAUGGGGGUGAGGAUCCCUGAAAGAUUAAUUAUAACUCUGCAUAUUUACCGAUAGGGAAAAGGUCACCUUUUAAAUCUGGAAACUUGAAGUACAAGAGUGAGAGUGAUCUAUAGCAUGAGAGAUUUUCAGAAAACAUUAGAUUAGACCAAAAGGCUUAAAAGAAAAACAGCCAACUAGGUUAGCUCUUGGAGAUGUUACAGGGGAGAUUCACGUAAUAAGUGGAGUUCUCAAAUAGCUGCAUGUCUCAAAUCAUUUUGGAAAAGUGUUUACUGCGUUACUGUUUUACAUAAUAAGUGGACUUUUCAGAUAGCUUCAUGUCUUAACUCAUAUUGGAAAUGAUUUAUUGUCUGUUUUACUGACAAAUUUUUAACCUAUAUACGAGUUCCAAAA